rnacentral:rRNA from 1 species
UACAGGGGGUGCAAACGUUGCUCGGGAUCAUUGGGCGUAAAGCGCACGUAGGCGGUUCGUUAUGUCGGAUGUGAAAGCCCUUGGCUUAACCGAGGAAGUGCAUCCGAAACUGGCGAGCUAGAGUACUAAAGAGGAUCGCGGAAUUCCCGGUGUAGAGGUGAAAUUCGUAGAUAUCGGGAGGAACACCGGUGGCGAAGGCGGCCAACUGGACGGUGACUGACACUGAGACGCGAAAGCGUGGGGAGCAAACAGG